rnacentral:rRNA from 1 species
GAUGAACGCUAGCGAUAGGCUUAACACAUGCAAGUCGAGGGGCAACAGGGUGUAGCAAUACACUGCUGGCGACCGGCGAAUGGGUGAGUAACACGUAUGCAACCUACCUUCAAGAGGGAAUAGCCCGGCGAAAGUCGGAUUAAUGCUCCAUAAAACAGGGGGUCACGCAUGUGACUAUUUGUUAAAGGAUUAAUUGCUUGAAGAUGGGCAUGCGUUCCAUUAGGCAGUUGGGGGGGUAACGGCCCACCAAACCGACGAUGGAUAGGGGUUCUGAGAGGAAGGUCCCCCAUAUUGGUACUGAGAAACGGACCAAACUCCUACGGGAGGCAGCAGUGAGGAAUAUUGGUCAAUGGGCGAAAGCCUGAACCAGCCAAGUCGCGUGAAGGAAGAAGGAUCUAUGGUUUGUAAACUUCUUUUAUAGGGGGGUAAAGAGAGUGACGCGUCACUUAUUGCAAGUACCCUAUGAAUAAGCAUCGGCUAACUCCGUG